AUUUGGUGAUGGGGACAACUUGCACAAAGUUUUUUAAAAUUCUCCCAAUAUUCAUAUAAAGACUCUCCACUAUACUGCCUAAUGCCACAAAUUUCUUUCCUUAUGCU